GUGGUAUCCUGUCUGAAUAUGGGGGGACCAUCCUCCAAGGCUAAAUACUCCUGACUGACCGAUAGUGAACCAGUACCGUGAGGGAAAGGCGAAAAGAACCCCGGCGAGGGGAGUGAAAAAGAACCUGAAACCGUGUACGUACAAGCAGUGGGAGCACGCUUAGGCGUGUGACUGCGUACCUUUUGUAUAAUGGGUCAGCGACUUAUAUUCUGUAGCAAGGUUAACCGAAUAGGGGAGCCGAAGGGAAACCGAGUCUUAACUGGGCGUUAAGUUGCAGGGUAUAGACCCGAAACCCGGUGAUCUAGCCAUGGGCAGGUUGAAGGUUGGGUAACACUAACUGGAGGACCGAACCGACUAAUGUUGAAAAAUUAGCGGAUGACUUGUGGCUGGGGGUGAAAGGCCAAUCAAACCGGGAGAUAGCUGGUUCUCCCCGAAAGCUAUUUAGGUAGCGCCUCGUGAAUUCAUCUCCGGGGGUAGAGCACUGUUUCGGCAAGGGGGUCAUCCCGACUUACCAACCCGAUGCAAACUGCGAAUACCGGAGAAUGUUAUCACGGGAGACACACGGCGGGUGCUAACGUCCGUCGUGAAGAGGGAAACAACCCAGACCGCCAGCUAAGGUCCCAAAGUCAUGGUUAAGUGGGAAACGAUGUGGGAAGGCCCAGACAGCCAGGAUGUUGGCUUAGAAGCAGCCAUCAUUUAAAGAAAGCGUAAUAGCUCACUGGUCGAGUCGGCCUGCGCGGAAGAUGUAACGGGGCUAAACCAUG
rnacentral:rRNA from 1 species